AAGUCGUAACAAGGUUUCCGUAGGUGAACCUGCGGAAGGAUCAUUACCAAAUUAACGGUCUUCGGACCUAAACCCCCUUGUGAAUUUUAAUACUGUCUUUGUGGGGAAGAAAAGGAGGGUAGAGUGGUUUUUAUAGCCACUUUGCCGGAUGGUUUUUCCCCACAUUAAAAAAGCUAAACUACUUUAAUUCAAUGUAAUGGUGGAUUUAUAACAAAUAACCAAAAGACAACUUUUAACGGUGGAUCUCUUGGCUCGU
rnacentral:misc_RNA from 1 species